rnacentral:tRNA from 1 species
GCCGGUGUGGCUCAGGGUUAGAGCAUCAGUCUGCAAAAUGAAGGGUCUCGGGUUCGAGUCCCAGUCAAGGGCA